rnacentral:rRNA from 1 species
ACGGGUGAGUAACACGUGGGCAAUCUGCCCUGCACUCUGGGACAAGCCCUGGAAACGGGGUCUAAUACCGGAUACGAGUUUCACAGGCAUCUGUGAUUCUGGAAAGCUCCGGCGGUGCAGGAUGAGCCCGCGGCCUAUCAGCUUGUUGGUGAGGUAACGGCUCACCAAGGCGACGACGGGUAGCCGGCCUGAGAGGGCGACCGGCCACACUGGGACUGAGACACGGCCCAGACUCCUACGGGAGGCAGCAGUGGGGAAUAUUGCACAAUGGGCGAAAGCCUGAUGCAGCGACGCCGCGUGAGGGAUGACGGCCUUCGGGUUGUAAACCUCUUUCAGCAGGGAAGAAGCGAGAGUGACGGUACCUGCAGAAGAAGCGCCGGCUAACUACGUGCCAGCAGCCGCGGUAAUACGUAGGGCGCAAGCGUUGUCCGGAAUUAUUGGGCGUAAAGAGCUCGUAGGCGGCUUGUCGCGUCGGUUGUGAAAGCCCGGGGCUUAACCCCGGGUCUGCAGUCGAUACGGGNCAGGCUAGAGUUCGGUAGGGGAGAUCGGAAUUCCU